rnacentral:rRNA from 1 species
AUUGAACGCUGGCGGCAGGCCUAACACAUGCAAGUCGAACGGUAACAGGAAACAGCUUGCUGUUUCGCUGACGAGUGGCGGACGGGUGAGUAACACGUGGGUAACCUGCCCAAAAGAAGGGGAUAACAUUUGGAAACAAGUGCUAAUACCGUAUAACCAUGAUGACCGCAUGGUCAUGAUGUAAAAGGUGGUUUUGCUAUCGCUUUUGGAUGGACCCGCGGCGUAUUAACUAGUUGGUAAGGUAACGGCUUACCAAGGUGAUGAUACGUAGCCGAACUGAGAGGUUGAUCGGCCACAAUGGGACUGAGACACGGCCCAUACUCCUACGGGAGGCAGCAGUAGGGAAUCUUCCACAAUGGGCGCAAGCCUGAUGGAGCAACGCCGCGUGAAUGAAGAAGGUCUUCGGAUCGUAAAGUUCUGUUAUUAGAGAAGAACACGUGUAAGAGUAACUGAUUAUGCGUUGACGGUAUCUAAUCAGCAAGUCACGGCUAACUACGUGCCAGCCGCCGCCGUAACAC